GGGUUAUAUAACUUGACAUCUGAUGAGACCCAGCUGUGAGACCUGGACCUGAGUCAGUUUAAGGCCUGAGCAUGUUGCUCUUAAAACCAUGACCACUUUAGAAAACCCCUGGCAGACACAGCCUAACUCCUGAGUAUCCUCCAAAGCAUUUAUGUAUCUUCCCUGAGUUCACAGAAGCGCUCAGCAAAUGCUUACGACCACCUAACUGAAGGGCAGUGGCUGAAGG
rnacentral:lncRNA from 1 species